UACAGAGGGUGCGAGCGUUAAUCGGAAUGAUUGGGCGUAAAGCGUGCGUAGGCGGCUUUGCAAGUCGGGUGUGAAAUCCCCAGGCUUAACCUGGGAACUGCAUUCGAGACUGCAUUGCUAGAGUAUGGGAGAGGGAAGUGGAAUUUCCGGUGUAGCGGUGAAAUGCGUAGAUAUCGGAAGGAACAUCAGUGGCGAAAGCGACUUCCUGGACCAAUACUGACGCUCAUGUGCGAAAGCGUGGGGAGCAAACAGG
rnacentral:rRNA from 1 species